rnacentral:rRNA from 1 species
GGUUAAGCGACUAAGCGUACACGGUGGAUGCCCUGGCAGUCAGAGGCGAUGAAGGACGUGCUAAUCUGCGAUAAGCGUCGGUGAGGUGAUAUGAACCGUUAUAACCGGCGAUUUCCGAAUGGGGAAACCCAGUGUGUUUCGACACACUAUCAUUAACUGAAUCCAUAGGUUAAUGAGGCGAACCGGGGGAACUGAAACAUCUAAGUACCCCGAGGAAAAGAAAUCAACCGAGAUUCCCCCAGUAGCGGCGAGCGAACGGGGAGGAGCCCAGAGCCUGAAUCAGUGUGUGUGUUAGUGGAAGCGUCUGGAAAGGCGUGCGAUACAGGGUGACAGCCCCGUACACAAAAAUGCACAUAUUGUGAGCUCGAUGAGUAGGGCGGGACACGUGGUAUCCUGUCUGAAUAUGGGGGGACCAUCCUCCAAGGCUAAAUACUCCUGACUGACCGAUAGUGAACCAGUACCGUGAGGGAAAGGCGAAAAGAACCCCGGCGAGGGGAGUGAAAAAGAACCUGAAACCGUGUACGUACAAGCAGUGGGAGCCUCUUAAUGGGGUGACUGCGUACCUUUUGUAUAAUGGGUCAGCGACUUAUAUUCUGUAGCAAGGUUAACCGAAUAGGGGAGCCGAAGGGAAACCGAGUCUUAACUGGGCGUUAAGUUGCAGGGUAUAGACCCGAAACCCGGUGAUCUAGCCAUGGGCAGGUUGAAGGUUGGGUAACACUAACUGGAGGACCGAACCGACUAAUGUUGAAAAAUUAGCGGAUGACUUGUGGCUGGGGGUGAAAGGCCAAUCAAACCGGGAGAUAGCUGGUUCUCCCCGAAAGCUAUUUAGGUAGCGCCUCGUGAAUUCAUCUCCGGGGGUAGAGCACUGUUUCGGCAAGGGGGUCAUCCCGACUUACCAACCCGAUGCAAACUGCGAAUACCGGAGAAUGUUAUCACGGGAGACACACGGCGGGUGCUAACGUCCGUCGUGAAGAGGGAAACAACCCAGACCGCCAGCUAAGGUCCCAAAGUCAUGGUUAAGUGGGAAACGAUGUGGGAAGGCCCAGACAGCCAGGAUGUUGGCUUAGAAGCAGCCAUCAUUUAAAGAAAGCGUAAUAGCUCACUGGUCGAGUCGGCCUGCGCGGAAGAUGUAACGGGGCUAAACCAUGCACCGAAGCUGCGGCAGCGACACUAUGUGUUGUUGGGUAGGGGAGCGUUCUGUAAGCCUGUGAAGGUGGCCUGUGAGGGUUGCUGGAGGUAUCAGAAGUGCGAAUGCUGACAUAAGUAACGAUAAAGCGGGUGAAAAGCCCGCUCGCCGGAAGACCAAGGGUUCCUGUCCAACGUUAAUCGGGGCAGGGUGAGUCGACCCCUAAGGCGAGGCCGAAAGGCGUAGUCGAUGGGAAACAGGUUAAUAUUCCUGUACUUGGUGUUACUGCGAAGAGGGGACGGAGAAGGCUAUGUUGGCCGGGCGACGGUUGUCCCGGUUUAAGCGUGUAGGCUGAUUUUCCAGGCAAAUCCGGAAAAUCAAGGCUGAGGCGUGAUGACGAGGCACUACGGUGCUGAAGCAACAAAUGCCCUGCUUCCAGGAAAAGCCUCUAAGCAUCAGGUAACAUCAAAUCGUACCCCAAACCGACACAGGUGGUCAGGUAGAGAAUACCAAGGCGCUUGAGAGAACUCGGGUGAAGGAACUAGGCAAAAUGGUGCCGUAACUUCGGGAGAAGGCACGCUGAUAUGUAGGUGAAG